AUGAACGCUGGCGGCGUGCCUCAUACAUGCAAGUCGCGCGAACAGACGAGGAGCUUGCUCCUCUGACGUUAGCGGCGGACGGGUGAGUAACACGUGGAUAACCUACCUAUAAGACUGGGAUAACUUCGGGAAACCGGAGCUAAUACCGGAUAAUAUAUUGAACCGCAUGGUUCAAUAGUGAAAGACGGUUUUGCUGUCACUUAUAGAUGGAUCCGCGCCGCAUUAGCUAGUUGGUAAGGUAACGGCUUACCAAGGCAACGAUGCGUAGUCGACCUGAGAGGGUGAUCGGCCACACUGGAACUGAGACACGGUCCAGACUCCUACGGGAGGCAGCAGUAGGGAAUCUUCCGCAAUGGGCGAAAGCUUGACGGAGCAACGCCGCGUGAGUGAUGAAGGUCUUCGGAUCGUAAAACUCUGUUAUUAGGGAAGAACAAAUGUGUAAGUAACUAUGCACGUCUUGACGGUACCUAAUCAGAAAGCCACGGCUAACUACGUG
rnacentral:rRNA from 1 species